GACGAACGCUGGCGGCGUGCUUAACACAUGCAAGUCGAACGGUAAGGCCCUUCGGGGUACACGAGUGGCGAACGGGUGAGUAACACGUGGGUGGUCUGCCCUGCACUUCGGGAUAAGCCUGGGAAACUGGGUCUAAUACCGGAUAGGACCACUGCCUGCAUGGGUGGUGGUGGAAAGCUCUUGCGGUGUGGGAUGGGCCCGCGGCCUAUCAGCUUGUUGGUGGGGUGAUGGCCUACCAAGGCGACGACGGGUAGCCGGCCUGAGAGGGUGACCGGCCACACUGGGACUGAGAGACGGCCCAGACUCCUACGGGAGGCAGCAGUGGGGAAUAUUGCACAAUGGGCGCAAGCCUGAUGCAGCGACGCCGCGUGAGGGAUGACGGCCUUCGGGUUGUAAACCUCUUUCAGCACCGACGAAGCGCAAGUGACGGUAGGUGCAGAAGAAGGACCGGCCAACUACGUGCCAGCCGCCGCAGUAAAAC
rnacentral:rRNA from 1 species